UUCCGGGAGACGAAAGGACGUAGAAAAUGCGGAUGCAAGUGUCAUGGCUGCCACCAGUAAGGACUCUCAAUGGAGGUUGAGUCUAGGGUUUCCCAGAUGGCGCUCCGAGCUUGGGCUUCAAGAAGGGGCGUCAAGACAUAAAGGAUGAGACUUCCGGACAGCAAGGUGCCCCCAAAUAUUUUCGGGAACUGUACUCUCUUCCUCUUAACUUGUCAAGUUUUUUUGGAGAAGUCUCCUUUUUUGGCAAGAGUGUAAAAAUGUGUACUUUCCUGGAUUCUCCAAACCCAGAGAGAAUAAGGCCAGCAAUCCAUCAGAAAUUAUUUUGUGAGUUCAAAUAAAGUAAAUCAUUUUAUAAGGUU